UACGUAGGGGGCAAGCGUUAUCCGGAAUCACUGGGUGUAAAGGGUGCGUAGGCGGUAGAUCAAGUAAGGUGUGAAAGCCCGGGGCUCAACUCCGGGAUUGCACUUUAAACUGAUUUACUAGAGUACAGAAGAGGUAAGCGGAAUUCCUAGUGUAGCGGUGAAAUGCGUAGAUAUUAGGAAGAACACCAGUGGCGAAGGCGGCUUACUGGACUGAAACUGACGCUGAGGCACGAAAGCGUGGGGAGCGAAC
rnacentral:rRNA from 1 species